rnacentral:rRNA from 1 species
UACGUAGGGUGCGAGCGUUGUCCGGAAUUAUUGGGCGUAAAGAGCUCGUAGGCGGUUUGUUGCGUCGGCUGUGAAAUCCCGAGGCUCAACCUCGGGUCUGCAGUCGAUACGAGCAAACUAGAGUGUUGCAGGGGAGACUGGAAUUCCUGGUGUAGCGGUGAAAUGCGCAGGAUAUCAGGAGGAACACCGGUGGCGAAGGCGGUUCUCUGGGCAUGUCCUGACGCUGAGGAGCGAAAGUGUGGGGAGCGAACAGG